rnacentral:rRNA from 1 species
GACGAACGCUGGCGGCGUGCUUAACACAUGCAAGUCGAACGAUGAAGCCGGAGCUUGCUCUGGCGAAUUAGUGGCGAACGGGUGAGUAACGCGUGAGUAACCUGCCCUUGACUCUGGGAUAACUGCGGGAAACUGUAGCUAAUACCGGAUACGACCCUCGGAGGCAUCUCCUGGGGGUGGAAAGAAUUUCGGUCAAGGAUGGACUCGCGGCCUAUCAGCUAGUUGGUGAGGUAAAGGCUCACCAAGGCGACGACGGGUAGCCGGCCUGCGAGGGGGACCGGCCACACUGGGACUGAGACACGGCCCAGACUCCUACGGGAGGCAGCAGUGGGGAAUAUUGCACAAUGGGCGCAAGCCUGAUGCAGCAACGCCGCGUGGGGGAUGACGGCCUUCGGGUUGUAAACCUCUUUUAGCAGGGAAGAAGCGAAAGUGACGGUACCUGCAGAAAAAGCACCGGCUAACUACGUGCCAGCCGCCGCAGUAA